GGCACUGGAUUUGUAGAGUCCAUCGGGUGGGACGAGAAAUGAGAUCAGCAUGGAGUCUGACUGCUAGAUAGUUAGAAGUUAAAUUAUGCUUAUGGACAUUUGAAAUUAUGUAAUUAAUCAGUACAUUUUAGUUGGUUUGGUUUAGAUACAUUAAUUAUGGAUUAUUUGGAAUUUUUGUUUAUCUUAGGCCUUGCAUGAUCUUUAGGGCACUGCUCUAGGGCUCAUGCGG
rnacentral:lncRNA from 1 species